rnacentral:siRNA from 1 species
AGUGUCAAGCAUUGGACAUGGAUA